rnacentral:rRNA from 1 species
AUUGAACGCUGGCGGCAGGCCUAACACAUGCAAGUCGAACGGCAGCGCGGACUUCGGUCUGGCGGCGAGUGGCGAACGGGUGAGUAAUACAUCGGAACGUACCCUGUGGUGGGGGAUAACUAGUCGAAAGAUUAGCUAAUACCGCAUACGACCUGAGGGUGAAAGUGGGGGACCGCAAGGCCUCACGCAGCAGGAGCGGCCGAUGUCUGAUUAGCUAGUUGGUGGGGUAAAGGCCCACCAAGGCGACGAUCAGUAGCUGGUCUGAGAGGACGAUCAGCCACACUGGGACUGAGACACGGCCCAGACUCCUACGGGAGGCAGCAGUGGGGAAUUUUGGACAAUGGGGGCAACCCUGAUCCAGCAAUGCCGCGUGUGUGAAGAAGGCCUUCGGGUUGUAAAGCACUUUUGUCCGGAAAGAAAUCGCGCUGGUUAAUACCUGGCGUGGAUGACGGUACCGGAAGAAUAAGCACCGGCUAACUACGUGCCAGCCGCCGCAGUAA